rnacentral:rRNA from 1 species
UACAGAGACUGCAAGCGUUAUUCGGAUUCACUGGGCGUAAAGGGUGCGCAGGCGGCCGAGUGUGUGAGGCGUGAAAGCCCGGGGCUUAACCCCGGAAUUGCACCUCAAACUACACGGCUAGAGCAUUGGAGAGGGUAGCAGAAUUCAUGGUGUAGCAGUGAAAUGCGUAGAUAUCUGGAGGAACACCGGUGGCGAAGGCGGCAUCCUGGACCAACACUGACGCUGAGGAGCGAAAGCCAGGGGAGCAAACGGG